rnacentral:snoRNA from 1 species
CAGCACUGCCUUUGAGCAGGUGCAAUGUCCCUCUGACAGCUUAGCUGGCUAAGCAGUGGUGUGCGAGGAAAAGCUUGUUUGUAACUGGUAGCUAGCUGCUUGCCUAAAACUUGAGUGGUGCUUUUAAGAGCGAUCUACAUGC